rnacentral:rRNA from 1 species
UACGUAGGGACCAAGCGUUGUUCGGAUUUACUGGGCGUAAAGGGCGCGUAGGUGGCGGGACAAGCGUGCGGUGAAAGCUCGGGGCUCAACCCCGGGUCGGCCGUGCGAACUGUUUUGCUUGAGCACUGUAGAGGCAGGCGGAAUUCCGGGUGUAGCGGUGGAAUGCGUAGAGAUCCGGAAGAACACCGGUGGCGAAGGCGGCCUGCUGGGCGAGAGCUGACACUGAGGCGCGACACG